AUUGAACGCUGGCGGCAGGCUUAACACAUGCAAGUCGAGCGAGCGGCGGACGGGUGAGUAAUGUCUGGGAAACUGCCUGAUGGAGGGGGAUAACUACUGGACACGGUAGCUAAUACCGCCUACCAUGAGGUGUCCCCAUAUGGGUUUGGCUAGUAGGUGGGGUAAUGGCUAACCGAGGCGACGAUCCCUAGCUGGUCUGAGAGGAGGACCAGCCACACUGGAACUGAGACACGGUCCAGACUCCUACGGGAGGCAGCAGGGGGGAAUAUUGCACAAUGGGCGCAAGCCUGAUGCAGCCAUGCCGCGUGUGUGAAGAAGGCCUUCGGGUUGUAAAGCACUUUCAGCGGGGAGGCGUUACUCGCAGAAGAAGCACCGGCUAACUCCGUGCCAGCCGCCGCGGUAAUAC
rnacentral:rRNA from 1 species